ACCUGUAGGAAGAAGACAUGACAAAUGGUACACCAUUUCUGGAGCAAGUGCAUACUCCGUGGAAAACCUCUACCCCACAAAUACAGCCAGAGAACCACUGCCUGCAGUAAUCAGCCUCAGGAUUGUGUGGCCUUCCCAAUGUGAAUGUGAGCAGAGCUCUGCCCUUGUCUUAAACACCACGGAUAUGCACUCAGCGCUAAAGUGAAUAUGAGCAGAGUCUCUCACUGUCGUGAACAACUCUGGCAAUUAAUGGCACCCUACAAGAUGUGACUGUGAGCGCAGCUUCCCGUGUCCUGACAACAUCAGGCCCUGGAAGAGCCCUGCACAGUGUGGAUGUAGAACAGCUAUUCGACAUUCCAACAGUCCCAGGGAAGUGUGGCUCCUGUACAAAGAUGAGGCAAGCAGAGCCCCACAUGCUCCAGACAUCAGCAUCAUGCAUGAAGCCCUCUAUAGGGUGCAGGUCAGAAGAGGCACACCAUUUGUGGCUGGAUUCUCUUAGGUAGGUACAGUCCUUCAAGGACACAGAGGUGAGCAGAGCAGUGCACAGUUGUGCUUAUCUCGUGCAUGUGGAGCCCUUUUCAACAUGUAACACACACACAGCGGUCCAUUCCGUCAAUGCCUCAGGCCUGUGUGGAACUCUCCACCAGGAAAUGGGCACUGUGUGCCCACCCUUAAACCACCAUCUUAGGCUCUUAUGGAGCCCUAACGAAUCUCUAUAUGCAAUGCUCCUCCUGUACUGACAAGCUGAGGAAUGGGAGGAGCCCAGCCAGGUGCUGAUCACCCUUCCAAGUCAAGAAUCUUAGACAUGGAUGAUGUGAAUACACUUCCCGUGUGCAAACUUCUGCUGGGAUUAGGAGCCCUCUCAAGGUAAGUGGAAACACAGGUCUCACAACUCCAAUCCAUCAGCUACAUCGGACGCCUCUCCAUUAUGUUGUGAUAAAGGUCCCAUCACAUCCUCACAACCUCACAUGUUUGUGAGCACUAUAUAAAGUGACUCUGGGAACAGACUCCGCCAAUGUCCAAACUACAUCUCACCUAUGAGUUGAGCUGGAUUCCAUCUGCAUCUGGCUGGACUAGUGCAGGACUCAACUAUGAAGACUCCUGUCAAGAAUCUACUAUUCGAAUGUGGCCAGAGACUUCCACACAUAAAGAGACUGUACUUACAAACAAUAUAGGGAACCUGUGCAAUGUAUGUGUGAGAACGGCCACCCUUCAACAUGUCCUGAGACACUCAGGCAUUUGGGAACACUUGAGGGAGAUCAAUAUGAAGAAUGGGUCUCCACUUCCUGCCAACAGGGGUCUCCAGUCUCUACAGCAGGUAAGCAUAAGCAGGGCCUUUGCAUCUCUGUCACCUAUGGACCCUGCCGCCAUUGAGAGCACAGGAGCUCGACCUACUUCUGACCCUCACAUAGGAGUACAACCUCUGCAGCUUGGUUGUGACCAGAGCCACUUCCUGUGGUAAUGAUCACACACAUGUGCAGAGGCCUCCACAAUGAGGUUGUGAACAGAGAUGCCAAUUUCCUUCAUCCCUUAGCCACAUGUGGAUGACCUGCAAGGUGAGUAUGUGCAAAACAGCCCCUUUAUCACUGCACAAAUGUGCAUACACUCACAGACAUCUGUACACACAUAUGCAUCAUCACCAUCCCAGGCAGAUGUGCUGCCCUGUACAAACACAGACAUGAGUAGCAUCCUCCUGUGUCCUGAACAACUCAAGCCCAUACAGCAUGAUGGGAGCAGAGACUGCAUGUCCUACUAACAAUUCCUGUGCAUAGACUCAUCUGCACCAUGCAUGUGAGUAGCACAUUUUGCUCCUGACCUCUUGACCUGCUCUCAUGUGCACAACCCAUAGUCACAAGGACGACAUGGCCUGGGACUUGCAAGACAUUUGUGACCACAGAGGCAGCCUGGAGAAACCCCUCAAAUACCCAUUUAAGCAGCACCAAGCCAAAUCUUCACCACCUCUGGUAAGUACCACUAAGUCAUUUAAUUUCCUCAUCGCCACGGAGAUAUCCAUGGGAGCAGGCAAUUGUCAGGCCCUGUAGAACCAGGCUGUGAGCAGAAACCAAACUACCUGAUUCCCUCAAGGGUGAGGACACCUUGCAAAACAUACAUAGGACCAGAAUCUCCACACAUGUACCGACUGUCCAGGUUGGCAGUCACAAUCUUGAGGAGGUACAUGGGAGCAGACUCUGUCUCAGGCAAUAUGUGGCCCGCAGGACAGGGAUUUGAGCAGCCCCUGGACCCCUUGUGCCUACCCUCUGUGUCAGUUUUAGUGCCUGUUACACUGUGGAUCAGAAUGGAGGCCAGCACAUCCCAUCAAAGCAAGGAUAUUUUUAUUAAAGACCUGGACAUCCUCUGCGUGGCUAGAUCUUCAUACCAUCUGCACCACCUCAGGAAUAUGUGGAUAUGCGCAAGGCUAGAGUUCCACAUCCUGAUGGCCUCAUGCCUUGAUGGUGCCUGGUCGAUCAUGGACAAGAGAAGAGACCCUCCAAAUUGUGACAACUGCCAGUGUGUGUUACCUUUACAAUGUCAGUGUGAUCACAGCCCACAUGUUUUUGUGUCAUCAUCAUAUAAUGAGCCCCGUAAAAUGAGAAGAGCUGCGAUAUUCAUCCGAACUCAGGCCCCUGGAAAACUUUUCCAGUGUGGGUAUGACCAGCAGCACCCUAUGUGGUUAUCAGCUUUUCAAUGUGAGGAGCCCUCUUCAGUGUGAAUGGAAGCAGCGUACACUAAGUUCUCCGGAGCAUAGGUCUCAUUAUGCGGUUCGGGCUGGCCUUCAGUUCACUUUGUAGCUCAGGCUGGGCACAAACUCACAGCAAUUCACCUGUGUGCCUCAGCUCCAAGUGUUGGGAUUACACCACCACCCUGGCUUAAACACUUCCGUAAAAAUCCUGAUCAUCUUCAUGGUAUGAGGAUCCAUAUACAACAUGGAGAUCAUUUCAGCCAACUGAAGGAUCAUCUGUCAAAAAUAAUCUCAGGAUCACAGGAGAUCAGCUUUCCUGUUACACACAUCACACACUGCAAAGCUGAGAAAAGGUGCAGAAUUAUUACUCUGGGACUGAGAUGUAGGAAGGUGCCAUGAGACUGAUAGAGUGCCUGAUCCAUUUCAGAAACAAUAUCUCAAGUUUGAACCAGGCACAGCCUGAAUUUGGAAGGUGAACCGAAUACCGCCCUCUGUGCACUGUCAUCCUACAUGGCCAGAUCUGGACUGAUGGACUGCAGCUCAGGACACUGUCAAUCCUCCUGAUUUCAGCAAAGGCCUCCUGGUGACAUCCUGUGAAAAGGUUCCAUAGUGGAGCCCAGACACCUGUAUGGCAAGUAGGCUGUUUAACAAACCCUCAACAUGGAACCCAAGCCUGCUUCCAGGCCCAAGGGAGAGGAAAGGUGAAUGUGCCAGCCAGAGCUCCAGCACGAGACAGCCCUGAGGCAUGGGUGGCUCUUAGUUUUCUCCAUUGAGAUCUGCCUAAGACGCAGACAUCACACAGCUCAAAAUGCAUGGAUGUCAAUGGUUAGAGAACUGUUUGGCUUAUGUACCUUCAUCACGGACUCAAGCACAGAUCCCAAAGUAUUUCUGCAAAGUCGAGGUCAACACUAUAAUGGUGGAUGCCACUCACCAAAACACAACCACACUUAGAUUACAGGGACACAGGGACACACCAGAGCCUACUGUGUAGGCAAGCUCUGUAUCUUCCCAGCACCACAACUCUGCAUCACUCUGACUUUACAGCUGUGCUUUUCAGCACUUCCCUGGGGACAUGCAAGGGCCAUGGUGCAGAAGCUCAUUAGAGGACUCAAAGAAAAAAAGGCAUCUGUGUAUCCUAUGGCCAUUAUACCACCUCCCACUGACUACCAAAUGUAGACAAAAAUGGGGUGAAGCUAUCUGCCCAAGGUGACUCACUGGAGGAAAACACUUGGCUUAGUCCUAGAGCUGGCAACUCCAGAGCGCUGCCUACCACCCAGUGCACCUCAAUGAUUUGCACUCAGUGCUCAGUACUGCUGCCUUUAUUCAAAAGUGCAUAUAAAUCCUUCAGGCUACAGGAAGGUUCUUUUACAAAUUCCCUAACCUGAAUAUGAUUCUUAUGGAUCUGAAAUGUACCAAUAAUCAUAAUUAUGAAAGGAAAAAUGAUAAAAAUAAAAGUGUUCUCACAGUAUCAAAUUUUAAGUUGUACUCAGGCUUUCUCUGCCCUGAGGCUUGAUGCAAAACUGUGGCCUUCCUAGGCCACUUGGAGCCCUCACACUCGCCCACAUCAGGCACCAGGCACGUCUGUGAUUCUUGCCACUGACAACUGGUAGGAAGGAGGAGCAAUUGCUUUUAGUAAAGAUGCAACAAUUCCAGUUAAGCUUUUCUCACCUUUUCAUGAGAGCAGAAAAAGGAAAACUACUAACAUGUCUUUGUAAGUGUGUAAGCAACCAUCAGAAUGAGUGUGUAUUUGCAGACAUUAGUUUGGCACAGCACAUGUCCCUUCAGGCACUGUAGGAACAACUGGGUGACCACCAGAGCGUCCACCCCAUGGAAGGAUGGGCCAUGGAGCACCACACAGCAGUUUGAAAGCAGAAUCCCCAUGCCACACCGAGACGCCUACCAUGGUCAGCUGGAAAAUCAGGCAAUGGAGAGCCAGGGUGUAGCCUUGGCCUUUAGGAGACACAUUUUUGCACAAACACAGAAAUUUGUGUAUCAAACACAGCGGGACUCAUUUCCUGAACUGUGACUAAGAAGCAGACUUCUUUGUUCUUAACGUAGGCCCUUCUGAGCUAUGUGAAUGUCUCAACCAAGCACUUAAGAAAAAUAACAAUCAAUUAGAAUGUCUCAGCAGAAAGCUGAGCUCCCACAUCAAGAGGCUCCAGCUCAAAGGGAGGAUGGAAAAAUGAACAUAAGGUCAGAUGUAGGAUCUUCUGUUCAUGGUGUACGUAAGAUAGUAUGAGCUGCACGGAAUGGUACAUACCUGUAAUCCCAGUAUGCAAGAGGCUGAGGCUGGAUGACUCCAUGGUCCACUCUCACAAUUUGGAUGGUAU